UCUGCAAACCCAAAGGUCUUUCCUGUUAUUAUGCAGCCUGCAGGAGGGGAACAAUAGCGGUGGCGGCGGGUGCAGUGUGACCCAGAGAUAAGGAGACAGUGUGAUUAGCAGGAAAACCAACGAGUAGGUCCAGAGCUAAAAGUGAUCCCCAGGGAGCAGCACCACUGGGAACGAUGGGGUUCCCAGUAGCAGAGACCAGGGACAGAGCUGAUGCUAUGGGACCAGCACAAACCUCAGUGCUGCAUCCUUGUGUCAGCCUGCAGUGACUGGGCAUCGCUGUGACCCCAGCGAGGGGCUUGCAGGGCGAUACCACAAAGGCUUUUUUUAACCUGAAACCAAGAAACAGAAGAGGAAAUGGAUGCUGAGAACUGUGCCAUGACACCACCGGCGACGUGAGCGGCUGCCCCAUGGCACAACCAAACCCAUUGCGUCCAAGAGUCGUGCUGGAGAAAGGGCAUCCAUGGAGGGAUGUGCUCCCGACGGCUGCGCAGCCUGGGAAAGCGCUGCUCCCCAGAGCUGCAGGGCUUCGCUGUAACCACCGAAGGAGAAACUGGCAAACCACAUCUGAGCGUGCUCCUGCUCCCGGCAGAGCGGGCGAGGCCGGGACAAACCCAGCCCAAACCGAGCCCGAGAGAGGAAACCAAACCCCAGCAGUUUCUCCCCGUGGAGCAUCCCUUGAGCGCCGUGUCCCAGGAUCCAGCAGCUGGGAUUUGCAUCCCGGGUGCUGCAGGAAGAGCCGGUCCCAGGAGCAGGAUGAGGGACCGGGACCCCAGAACCAGCACACUCUGAUGGGGGAGGGAGUGGGGCUGGGCUCCUCAGGCAGCCCCACAAAGCUCCUCUGAGUUGUGCAGCACCUCGGAGGCCUCAUAAGAAUUAAUUACUAUUGCUGCUUAAUGAAGCCAUCGUGCUGAGCCCAACCUGCCCCUUGCUGCUGGCCGGGCCCCUUGGGUGCUGGCACAGUGCUCAGAGGUGGGGACAUGGCCCUGUCCUCGCCUCGCCCGCCCUCCCUAUUACUUCAGGAGCCCUAAAUUCCUGCCACAGCCCUGGCUGCCUCUCCCAGGGCCCGCCCGGCUGCUGGGUCACUGCACCAGCACCCAUGGGCCCCCACCACCAACCCCGGCCCCAUGGCACAUGGGGUACCCCUGGGCUGGAGGCUUCGUGUGCCCAUGGAGCAAGGUAGAGGGCUGGGAGCAUUGGAACAUCCCACCAGUGAUGUCCAUCACCUGGAUCGUGCCCGACCUCGAGAGCCUGGCCCCUUCCCAGUGCCGUGGGGAUGCGGAUGCUCCUCAGCUCACCUGGAAAACCUCCUUCGUUGGCACCCAAAAUGGGCAGCGUUGUUUAUCCCAGCGUGGAGCCACCGCGUCCCCACCGGCACAUGGGGAUUAACAAUCUUGACCUAUUUCCCGGGGGGUGCAGCAAGGCUUAAUUCAGUGCCUGCUUGAGGAGCACAUAGAUCUGCAGAUAGAGCCAUUAUGGAGUGUGAGAUAUCAUUAAUUAAUGCACAGGUUGAUAUAGUUAUGCGCUUAGAUCAUCAUCAGCUGAUCCUGCUAAUCCCUUCUUGUGCAAGUCCCUGGGCGAGGGGGAGCUGCUGCUUGGCAUCACUUGGCUCCCGGUGAGCUGGGCUGUCCCCACAUUGUCCCCAUGUGCCACCAUGGCCGGGGGGUGCAAGCGGUGGCCCCCAGUCCCUGUUCCUUCAUGUCCCCUGCUCCCAACCCUGUGUUGGCCCAUGGUGGUCCCACAGGAGGGGAGACAACUCCUGCUCUCCAUCAAUGGAUGGGAUCCGGGGCUGCCUCUCCUUGAGCCAGGGGCUGAGGCUCAAUCUCAUUCAAGUAAUUACUUCAAUAAUUAUUAAAAAUAGAUAAUUAUUACCCUUUUUAUUCAGUGA